rnacentral:lncRNA from 1 species
AGGGGGAGGACUCAUGGACGAUCUUGGAGGAAAUGGAUGACAAAGAGAAGAAGAAAGUGAGGAGGAAGGGAAGGAGAAAGGAUAGAUUGCGAUGAGAAGGGCCGAAGAUGGAAGGAGCCUCAUAAAGAGACAGAGCUCAUGAACAGAUUUAAAGGAGGAAGAGGAUAAAGAAGAGAAGUAGGUGAGGAGAAAAAAAAGAUAGAGAGAAACUAUCGAUAAAAAAUGGAUGGAGAUGAAGAGAACCACC